rnacentral:rRNA from 1 species
AUUAACGCUGGCGGUGUGUCUAAUACAUGCAAGUCGAACGGCUCGCAGGAGCAGUGGCAAACGGGUGAGUAACACGUUGGUACAUGCCCCGAAGUGAGGGAUACCCCGUAGAAAUACGGGUUAAUACCGCAUAUGAUCGCAAGAUUAAAGCAGCAAUGCGCUUCGGGAAUGGCCUGCGUACUAUCAGCUAGUUGGUGAGAUAAUAGCUCACCAAGGCUAUGACGGUUAACUGGUCUGAGAGGAUGAUCAGUCACAGGGAAACUGAGACACGGUUCCCACUCCUACGGGAGGCAGCAGUAAGGAAUCUUUCGCAAUGGGGGAAACCCUGACGAAGCGACACCGCGUGAACGAUGAAGGUCGGAAGAUCGUAAAGUUCUUUUCUGAAGGAAAAAUUCUGAUUGUACUUCAGGAAUAAGCACCGGCUAACUCCGU